UACGGAGGGGGCUAGCGUUGUUCGGAAUUACUGGGCGUAAAGCGCACGUAGGCGGCUUUGUAAGUUAGAGGUGAAAGCCCGGGGCUCAACUCCGGAAUUGCCUUUAAGACUGCAUCGCUAGAAUCAUGGAGAGGUGAGUGGAAUUCCGAGUGUAGAGGUGAAAUUCGUAGAUAUUCGGAAGAACACCGGUGGCGAAGGCGACCUUCUGGGCCGCAACUGACGCUGAGGCACGAAAGCCUGGGGAGCAAACGGG
rnacentral:rRNA from 1 species